CCCAAAAUGAAAUGUUUGACAUUUCGUAAACAUUAAAUCCACAUGUAACGAAUAUUCGAAAGUUUUUUGUGUUUAAAUAAAUGGUUGCAAUUCAACAAACUGCCGUUAACAGCAGUUGCGUCUAUGGAACCGGAACUGAACAAUCACCCAACCGGAAGUGAUGCCCACUGCAGUGGAGUUGGCUAGGUGACUAGAUGGCUAUGGGCGACAACUCACUGAUGAUGACUGGGCUGUACCAGCGUCCACGGUACCUAAAGUGGCCAAGCAUCCAACAGGGAGAGAUGCCCUUUGCAGCGGAGUUGGCGAAGAGGCGUAAUGCAGCUACAGUUGCAGUCAGGUUUGCGUAAGCUUAUGCGGAAAACUUCAUCGACAAAGAUAUGUAUUCUUUUACUCACAUUUUUGUAUAAUUUGACUUUUCACUAUUUGGAUCAGCAUUUUUUAAACAAUCGUUCUUAAAAGAAUGUUUGCACUAAGUAGGUCACUGAAUAUUUCAUAGCCUUAUGAUGAAUUAAGUAGAAUAUAUGGGCAGCAUUUUGAAAGGUUCUUAUUAAAUCCACUAUUUUAUUAAACAUAUCAAUGAUUUUUCGAAUUAACGAUUCCUCUUUUCCUAAUACACGAACAUUGAAAAGGCAUUUUCUGUUGGUUUUAGAAACCUUACAGUGAAAAUGCUAAAAGGUGCCAGCAUCCUUUCCCAAGAUUUCUUUAACCGAACCCAAGUAGCAGAAAAUGUUUAUUUCCUUUUCGUGUAUGCCAAAAUAUAAUAUUUUUAAAUAAAAAAAUUCACAUUGGAGGGGUAUCAUUUGUACAAGUCUAAACGUGGUUUAAAAUAAAUGGUGGGAGUGGUUUAUGAAAUUAGAGUGCAAAACAAUAUUAAACUGAUAUAAUUCAAAUGGCUUUACUUGUUACUGCAUCGGUUUUUCAUUUAAAAAUCAAUGUUACAGCGUCCACGGUACCUGAAGCAUCCAACCGGAAGAGAUGCCCUUUGUAGUGGAGUUGGCGAAGAGGCGUAAUGUGGCUAUAGUAGCAGUCAGGUUUGCGUAAGGUUAUGUGGACAACUUCAUCGACAAAGAUAUGUAUUAUUUUGCUCACAUUUUGUAUAAGUUUUUGUUUGCACUAUUUGGCUCAGCAUUGUUUUCUUAAACAAUUCAUCUUGAAUGUUUUUACUAAUUAUGUCACUUUAUAUUUCAUGGCCUUAUGAUGAAUUAACUAAAAUAUAUGGAAAACAUUUCUAACGGUUCUAAUUAAAUCAAUUGUAUGUCAAAAUAUAAAAAAAAAAAAAAAAAAAAAGUCUCACAUUGGAGGGGUAUCAUUUGUACAAGACUAAACGUGGUUUAUAAUAAAUGGUAGGAAAGGCUCAUGAAAUGAGAGUGCAAAACAAUAUAAAACUGAUUUAAUUCAUGUGAAUAUACUUGUUACUGCAUCGGUUUUUCAUAGAAAUAGCAAUGUUACAGCGUCCACGGUGCCACUGGCCAACCAUCCAACCGGAAGAGAUGCCCUUUGCAGUGGAGUUGGCGAAGAGGCGUAAUGCGUCUACAGUAGCAGUCAGGUUUGCGUAGGGUUAUGUGGACAACUUCAUCGACAAAGAUAUGUAUUAUUUUGCUCACAUUUUAAUAAGUUUUUGUUUGCACUAUUUGGCUCAGUAUUGUUUUGUUUUUAAACAAUUCAUCUUGAAAGGAUGUUUUUACUAAUUAUGUCACUUUAUAUUUCUUAGCCUUAUGAUGAAUUAAUUGAACUUUAUGGAAUACAUUUUUAAAGGUUCUUAUCAAAUCUAAUAUUUUUUAAAUAUAUCAAUGAUUUUUCGAAUAAUUUAUUCUUUUCUUCCAAAUACACGAAAAUUGAAAAGGCAUUUUCUGUUGGUUUUAGAAAUCUUACAGUGAAAAUGCUAUAAGGUGCCAGCAUCCUUUCCCAAGAUUUCCUUAACCAAACUUGAGUAGCAGAAAACGCCUUUUUCAUAUUCUCGUGUUUAUAUAUAUAUUAAUCUAAUAUUGCACAUUGGAUGAGCUUAGUUUGUAUUAUUUUGAUUGUGGUUUAAUAUAGACUUGUAGAAAAUGCUCAUGAUAGGAAUUGAAAAGCAAUUUAAAAAAUAUUAAGAUAAUAAAUUAUGAAUAAAUUUGUUAAAUGAAAUGUUUUUAAAUUGAAUUGGAAAGUUAUUUGUUAAGUACCUCUUUUAUUCAUAUGGUUAGCAUUUGUUUAUUUGAUGAUGCAACUUUAUUUAAUUAUAUAUUUAACGUUUUUGUUUUUUUUUAAUACAUAAGUGACUGCGUUCGUUCAAUGUUUCAGCAUGGGUUCCACCAUCCGGUUUGGAAUUGAUGCCCCAUGCAUUGAGCUUUGGAUGAAAUAUCACGUAUGAUAAUUGGACAGGAGCAGUGUCUAGGGAACCGGAAGUGUCCCAUCUUGCAACCCGGAGUGAUACCUCUUGCAACCUGAACGAUGCUCCAUCAGUGGCAUUUGCAAUGCCCGAAGGCCGCACAUACCUGUAUUUUGGCCAUGGGUGACAACUUAGUGAUGACACAAUGGGUAACACCUCACUGAUGACACAGUGGCAUGAUUGCUAAACUGGAUCAGGCCUUUUCACAGAAAACACAAUGGAAAAUGAAAUAUUCAAAACAUUGACACUCUAUUUUUGGGCCUUUUGUUGAUCGAUAAGAAUUUAAACAUGUAUGUGACAACCUUAUAUUGAUGUGCCAGUAUAAUGGUUAUGUUACAUUCUGAUACUGAAGUGACUUUGACAUUCUUAUGUUGAUGUGACAUUCUAAUGUUAUGUGAAUUCUUAUAUUGAUUCGACUUUUCAAUGUUUAUGUGACAUAAGUAUAUUGAUGUGAUAUAUGUUUAUACAUACAUGCAUGUCCGGAUGAAUUCCGUAGUUCCUAUAUUCUGAGGAUGAAUUAGGGGUUAUCUGUUUUAGUUAAGCCCUACGUGCAUCGCUACGGUAAACACGUGUCAUCCACCGGGUGUUUUUCGUGGGCGGCUGUCAUUCCGAUGAAGGAUAUAUGAUCAAAUCUGCAUCACCGUUAGUAAGAAUUAAGACUUUGAAACUUUGUAAUUAUUAAUUUUUGACAAAUGGUAAUAUGCAGGUUUGAUCAGGGCAUGUGCCGGAGGGGCCGGCAACAUUUAGACAGAAUGGAACAGUAUGUUUGAGCGUUUCAGUGUUGUUUAAAGUAUUUAUGUAGAUAAUUUGCUUUAACAGAAAAAAAUGUUGUAUGCGUCUGUAUGUGCCCCACUGCUCCAACAUGUGCCAAAAUAAAUAUCGAAGUCUUGCCCCAUGCAAACAGGUGUUUGUCUUUUGUGCGGAGGGACGUUAAGACUAUCUUUUACAGUAUUGUUUUGUAUCAAACUAUAUUGAUUUUGUUUGAA